ensembl:lncRNA
GCUAAUUCUGUACAUUCAAAUGAAACAGAGGGGAAAUAUACUGAAUGGAGCCCAUGUAUAAGAUCAUAUGAAAUGUAAAAAGCCUUGUUGUUCUGCGCACACACUGCCUCUUCAAUCCAGUUCUGCUUAAAUGCCCAUUCUUCUCGUUUGGCAUCUCCUUGUCCCUCUAUGGCCGAAUCAAAAGAGGGACGAAAUAAUGACACAAAGAUUUUUAAAAACUCAGCCCCAGCUGCAGCAGGGAGAAGCCUGAAGCGAAACGUGAGAGCGUACGGCUCUUUGUUAGGGUUUCCUUGGCUAUAGAAUAUGGUAUAUGAAACGCCUGGCGUAUCCCGUUCGGUCCUAUGGAGGGAGAGCUCUUAAGGUGGCUCCUCCGGGUUUGGGGCGGCUGUGGGGAGCCAGCCCUGCAUUUGCAGGCAGCGAACGUCCCACCUGCAGGACCCCGCGCCCCAGGGCUGCUCUGCAGGCGGUGGGUGGUCCGGAUGGGAUUUUGCUUUCUUUAUUGUAGCUGCCGCUUUGCGUGGGGAAACCUAACUCAACGCUCCUCGUCGGGAGAUGGUUCCAGUUUAUACGGGCUUCUAGGAAACAGAGACGCUUUUCUCCAUGCACACGCGAGCAUGGCACCACCUUGCCCAGCCAUGGGCUGAACUCUGCAUUUUGGAGCUGCCACCAGCCCGUCCCCUGUAGGACAGGAUCCCCUCUCAGCCCUUGGGACAUGCUAGCAAUGGGCUCCUCACGUGGGUUCCCCCUGGGAAAACCCAGUGAUGCUGGGAUACUCGGAGCAUGAAAGCACCAAAGGCCCAGCAGCCAGCCCUGCCACCUCAACAGCGCCGGUGAGGAGCAGCACAUUCCUCUGCAGCAGCUGGAGCUGCCUCAUGACACUGGUGUGCGUGGCUGGCAGCACGCUGGUGCAGAGCAGCGGGGGACAGCCAGGGCGGGCAUGUGACACCCUGGCUGCUAUUCCUGCUCCGAGGGACUGUCACACGGAGCGAGAAUCACCCGGCGACAGCACACAAGGCAGGUGCGUGACCCAAACCUUCCUGACCGCUUCCCAAGGAUGGACUGAGGUCUGGAAGAAGCUGCUCGGUGUCACUGGAGCAAGGCGAGCUCCCUGUGUGCUGCCAGCUCAGCUCUGCAGAGAGCUCCGUAGGGCAGCACCCCACAGGCAGGCUUUGGCAGGGAGCUCUGUACCUUGGAGCUGCCUUCCCGCAGUGGUAGCUGGAGCUGGUUCUAAUACUUAGAUGGUUUUAAUGUGGAAACAAGAAUCCAUGAGCUGUCAGCUCUCCCCAGCCAGGCACCAUCCCAGAGCUCGGCAAACACAGAGCAUGGGAGACCUGCAGCUGCCGAAUAGCGGCUCUCUCUUCCGCUCGAGCCAGACAUGCGAGGGGUGCUGCAUCCACCCACCGUUUGACGAUACCCGUGUUGCCCACCCUGCAAGCAGCAGGAUUUAGGAUGCUGCUGGAGCGUGGAAUCCUUAUGGGAGACACCUCACAGAGGCAGCAAUGCUACACAACUGGUUUGGAUAAGAGGCGAUGAGAAGCCCCGCAUCCCGCUGCAGGAUGUAGGUCAGGCGGGUGGAAACGUGGGAGCCCUGGGCAGCAGCCAGUGCCCAGCUGGUGCGGGUGGUCUCCCAGGCCUACAGCCACCACAGACAGCCAGGGGCGUGGGCUGCGUUCUGCAGCUUUCCCCCAGCAGCUCUGCAGCAGCGGUGCCUGGAGGCGGAGUGGCCCUGUGAGGGCACGAGCCCGGGCCAUCCCAAACAAAGACUCUCUGCAAGAUCUUUCCUGUGUCGUGGAGUCUGCUCACCUGCGCUGCAGGGACAGCGGGAUGCCCCCACCAAGUGCAGGAGCCUAAGGGCUGAUGCUGAAGCUUCCUGCCCAGGGACUUGCUGCUCUCUGAGGCCUUCCCCAAAGCUCCUGCCCAAUGUCUCUGCACCUCUCGAGCCCUCACACCCAGCCAGGCAGUCAGGCUGCUCCCCACCACCAUCCCAGCAGGCUGUGGCCGGGCCCCCGGUGCGAGGGCACGGGGUAGGAGGCAGCGGGUGCACGGCUGCAUCUCGGCGAG